GAUGAAGAACGCAGUGAAAUGCGAUAAGUAAUGUGAAUUGCAGAAUUCAGUGAAUCAUCGAAUCUUUGAACGCACAUUGCGCCCGCCAGUAUUCUGGCGGGCAUGCCUGUUCGAGCGUCAUUUCAACCAUCAAGCCCCCCGGCUUGUGUUGGGGACCUGCGGCUGCCGCAGGCCCUGAAAAGCAGUGGCGGGCUCGCUGUCACACCGAGCGUAGUAGCAUACAUCUCGCUCUGGGCGUGCUGCGGGUUCCGGCCGUUAAACCACCUUCAUAACCCAAGGUUGACCUCGGAUCAGGUAGGAAGACCCGCUGAACUUAAGCAUAUCAAUAAGCGGAGGA
rnacentral:misc_RNA from 1 species